CUUGUCCAAGCUUAAACAACCCGCUCUUAGAUAAGGUUCAAUGAACUCAUUGCUUUCCUGGUAGGAGUUUUCACUCUUUGACGAAUCUACAUCAUCUUGCUUGCUGGGGCCUAGGUUAAGAGCCGUCUGAGGAAGUUUUGUCCUACGAGACUACCACUCGUUGAAAGAUGGAAACAAAGAAGGAAAACAAGGAGAAAGAACUUGCCAGUAGAGACGAGGUCAUCUAAACUGAGGGUGCUAUCCUUAUUCUGGUUCGUCCACCUCCCUCAAAGACGUUAAAGCUUGUGCCCCCAAAUUCCUCAAAGAAAAGGAAGGCCGUGUCUAAGAUGAUUGACACGGGAAACUUUCCUAGUUGUCAAGGCCAGAAAAGGCAUAAGACAUUGGACCGUCGAGCAUGCCUCUUGCCACUGCUCUCCUUGAGGGUAGUCCUUUGACUCUGCUGAGGAGUGAGACUUUAGCUUGGAACAGAUUCAAGCAAGUAGUGAAGGACAAGGACAUCAGUAUUUGCUAUGACAUGUUAUGUCUAAGUUCAUGGCAGUGUCCAGGCAAGCCACGAGUUUGGAUAAGGAGAGGAUUAGGUUGGCGGCCAAAAUCUAUGAUAUGGACAAGGAGGAAAGUUAGAAAGUCGAGGAGAGGAUAAAGCUAGAGGACAACGUGAAGCGUUUAUCGUUUGAGGUGAGAGAGCUAAAAAAUUUAACUGAGGAGCUUAGAACUGAUAUCGUUGACAAAGAGUCUCGUCUUGACCAUCUCCAAAAGAAGAGUGACGAGCUCGCUUCUUCUCUAAGUAAGGCCAAGGACGAGGCUGUCAAUGAGUUCAAGGCGUCUAGUGAAUUUUCCAAGCUCUUGGACAAGAAUUACACUGUAGACUUUGAGGAUUUUCGUUAGGCCACUAGUGAAGCCUUCCCUGGGGUAAAUUUUAGUUAUAUCAAGCUUCCCAUUGCUUCUGAGAGUUCCUUGCUCCCUACCAGCUUAGAGGAGAUCAACAUUGAGGAUGAUUCUAUCACCUCUCUUCCUCCUAAGGACGAUGCUAAGUUUGGGGACGUUGUUCCCAAUGGUUUAUCACAGUCGUGUUCAUUUGUAAGCAAUAUUUAUUUAUUUGUGUUAUUGGGGUCUGUUGUUUUGGACCAUUUUCUAAUUUUCU